CCUUACCCACCUUUGACAUGUACGGAAGUUGCCAGAGAUGGCUUCGUGCUCGAAAGAGAACCGUAACACAGGUGCUGCAUGGCUGUCGUCAGCUCGUGUCGUGAGAUGUUGGGUUAAGUCCCGCAACGAGCGCAACCCUUGCCAUUAGUUGCUACGAAAGGGCACUCUAAUGGGACUGCCGGUGACAAACCGGAGGAAGGUGGGGAUGACGUCAAGUCCUCAUGGCCCUUAUAGGUGGGGCUACACACGUCAUACAAUGGCUGGUACAGAGGGUUGCCAACCCGCGAGGGGGAGCCAAUCCCAUAAAGCCAGUCGUAGUCCGGACCGCAGUCUGCAACUCGACUGCGUGAAGUCGGAAUCGCUAGUAAUCGCGGAUCAGCUUGCCGCGGUGAAUACGUUCCCGGGUCUUGUACACACCGCCCGUCACACCAUGGGAG
rnacentral:rRNA from 1 species